CGCUGCCACACAGCACCGCCCCGCGGGCAGCGAGGAGAGACACGCUGAACCGAGCGGCGGAGCCGCUCCGCUCUCUUCAGCGUGUCUCUCGUCGGUAACCUCCACUUCCAUCCCCCGGUAGAACCUGUUGCGAGCCCCUCGGUGGGGAGCUACGAGGGCAGGUGCACUCACCCGUCCAACCAUGUUUUCUUUCCGAGCGCUGGGGAGCGGUGUUGACGGCUGGGAACAGCUCCGAGGGGUUAAAAUCCAGUCUCUGAGUGUGGUUCCUGUCCUGGAGAGUCCCCUCAUCCCGGGCUUGCCUCUCCUCCGCAGCUCCGCGCUUCGCGGCGAGGUCUCAGUCCCGCUUCGCUGCUCUUGCGACAGGACACGGCGCUUGCUCAUCCUCCGUGUGGACUGCGGCUCCUCUCCUCCCGCUCUGCUAUGGGGAAAAAAAUAAAAAUAAUAAAAUAAAGGAGGAACAAAAAAUAAAAUAACGAAAAUCGCCCAUUUGGAAGACGGACAUUUCUCCGUGUCGCUCAAAAGACUGACUUCUUUUGCGCACAAAACCCGUGGCCAGAGGGAACUCUGUUAAUAGCUCUUUAAGUGAUGGUGUAAAAACUGACUGGUGGUGGAAAGUAGUAACUAGUGGUAACAAAGAAUAGAUCCAAACUACGA